UACGUAGGGGGCAAGCGUUGUCCGGAUUUAUUGGGCGUAAAGAGCGUGUAGGCGGCCAGGUAGGUCAGCUGUGAAAACUCGAGGCUCAACCUCGAGACGUCGGUUGAAACCACCUGGCUAGAGUCCGGAAGAGGAGAGUGGAAUUCCUGGUGUAGCGGUGAAAUGCGCAGAUAUCAGGAAGAACACCCCGUGGCGAAGGCGGCUCUCUGGGACGGUACUGACGCUGAGGAGCGAAAGCCCAGGGGAGCAAACGGG
rnacentral:rRNA from 1 species